rnacentral:rRNA from 1 species
UCUCCUACGGGUGGCUGCAGUGGGGAAUAUUGGACAAUGGGCGCAAGCCUGAUCCAGCCAUGCCGCGUGAGUGAUGAAGGUCUUAGGAUUGUAAAGCUCUUUCACCGGAGAAGAUAAUGACGGUAUCCGGAGAAGAAGCCCCGGCUAACUUCGUGCCAGCAGCCGCGGUAAUACGAAGGGGGCUAGCGUUGUUCGGAAUUACUGGGCGUAAAGCGCACGUAGGCGGAUAUUUAAGUCAGGGGUGAAAUCCCAGAGCUCAACUCUGGAACUGCCUUUGAUACUGGGUAUCUAGAGUAUGGAAGAGGUGAGUGGAAUUCCGAGUGUAGAGGUGAAAUUCGUAGAUAUUCGGAGGAACACCAGUGGCGAAGGCGGCUCACUGGUCCAUUACUGACGCUGAGGUGCGAAAGCGUGGGGAGCAAACAGGAUUAGAUACCCCGGUAGUCC